UACGUAGGGGCUGCGUUAUCCGGAAUUACUGGGCGUAAAGGGUGCGUAGGUGGUUUCUUAAGUCAGAGGUGAAGGGCUACGGCUCAACCGUAGUAAGCCUUUGAAACUGAGAAACUUGAGUGCAGGAGAGGAGAGUAGAAUUCCUAGUGUAGCGGUGAAAUGCGUAGAUAUUAGGAGGAAUACCAGUUGCGAAGGCGGCUCUCUGGACUGUAACUGACACUGAGGCACGAAAGCGUGGGGAGCAAACAGGAUUAGAUACCCCUGUAGUCCCUGAG
rnacentral:rRNA from 1 species